rnacentral:lncRNA from 1 species
CUGCCUCUGCCAACUUAAAAACAGCAUUGAGGCUGUCUGCAAGACAGUCAAGCUGCAUUGCAACAGUGCAUGUCUGACAAACACCAUACAUUGUCGUUUAGGAUUGGGUGUGUGUGUCUCCUCUCUGAAUGGCACUCAAAUGUUUGCUGACUCCUACUCUGUGUGACUGGGGUGUACAGCUAUGGACUGAUGCAUCCCAUCCCAUCAUCUUUCAUGAGCAAAGCAGUCUCUUUUUUGACAGCUGAAGAAGAAUCUGUAGGGAAUCCAGAAGGAGCAUUCAUGAAGACGUUACAAGCCCGGAAGAAUUACACAAGCACUGAGCUGACUGUUGAGCCGGAGGAGCCCUCAGACAGCAGUGGCAUCAACUUGUCAGGCUUUGGGAGUGAGCAGCUAGACACCAAUGACGAGAGUGAGGUUAUCAGUGCACUAAGUUACAUUUGCCAUAUUUCUCAGCAGUAAACCUAGAUGUGGAAUCAAUGUUACUACCGUUCAUUAAACUGCCAACCACAGGAAACAGCCUGGCAAAGAUUCAAACUGUAGGCCAAAACCAGCAAAAAGUGAAUAGAGUCCUCAUGGGCCCAAGGAGCAUCCAGAAAAGGCACUUCAAAGAGGUGGGAAGGCAGAGCAUCAGGAGGGAACAGGGUGCCCAGGCAUCUGUGGAGAACGCUGCCGAAGAAAAAAGGCUCGGGAGUCCAGCCCCAAGGGAGCUGGAACAGCCUCACACACAGCAGGGGCCUGAGAAGUUAGCGGGAAACGCCAUCUACACCAAGCCUUCGUUCACCCAAGAGCAUAAGGCAGCAGUCUCUGUGCUGACACCCUUCUCCAAGGGCGCGCCUUCUACCUCCAGCCCUGCAAAAGCCCUACCACAGGUGAGAGACAGAUGGAAAGACAACACACACACUAUUUCCAUUUUAGAAAGUGCAAAGGCUAGAGUUACAAAUAUGAAGGCUUCUAAACCAAUUUCACAUUCCAGAAAAAAAUACCGCUUUCACAAAACUCGCUCCCGCAUGACCCACAGAACACCCAAGGUCAAAAAGAGUCCAAAGUUCAGAAAGAAAAGUUAUCUGAGUAGACUGAUGCUCGCAAACAGGCCUCCGUUCUCUGCAGCGAAGAGCCUCAUAAAUUCCCCUUCACAAGGGGCUUUUUCAUCCUUAGGAGACCUGAGUCCUCAAGAAAACCCUUUUCUGGAAGUAUCUGCUCCUUCAGAACAUUUUAUAGAAACCACUAAUAUAAAAGACACAACUGCAAGAAAUGCCUUGGAAGAAAAUGUUUUUAUGGAAAACACUAACAUGCCAGAAGUCACCAUCUCUGAAAACACAAACUACAAUCAUCCUCCUGAGGCAGAUUCCGCUGGGACUGCAUUCAACUUAGGGCCAACUGUUAAACAAACUGAGACAAAAUGGGAAUACAACAACGUGGGCACUGACCUGUCCCCCGAGCCCAAAAGCUUCAAUUACCCAUUGCUCAGUUUGAAAUUCAGCUAACCCAGCAGCUACAGUCCCUUAUCCCCAACAAUGUGAGAAGGCUCAUUUCUCAUGUUAUCCGGACCUUGAAGAUGGACUGCUCUGGGGCCCAUGUGCAAGUGACCUGUGCCAAGCUCAUCUCCAGGACAGGCCACCUGAUGAAGCUUCUCAGUGGGCAGCAGGAAGUAAAGGCAUCUGAGAUAGAAUGGGAUACGGACCAAUGGAAGACUCAGAACUACAUUAAUGAGAGCACGGAAGCCCAGAGUGAACAGAAAGAGAAGUCGCUUGAGCUCACAAAAUAAGUUCCAGGAUAUGGCUAUACUGACAAACUCAUCUUGGCAUUAAUUGUGACUGAAAUACUAAUGAUUUUUAUUAUACUUUUCUGCCUCAUUGUGGUAAGGACAAUAAUUAAUUCAGGUUGUCAGAAUGCAGUCCUGUUUCUGUGUGGAUUCAGAGCUCACAAACUGAAAACCAAAGCCACUUUCCCACCUGCUGCUACUUGACAUACUUCUUCAGUCAUUUAAGGCUGAGGUGUAUGCUUUGUUCUUUUAUUGCAGUGUAUAUUUCAGGAUUUUUAAAAGAUCCUCGCUUCCAGAUCUCUGUGAAUUGAAACCAAGUUAAUCCCACUAGACUAUUUUAAGAAGUCGAUAUAAUAGCAAAAUUUCUCCACCCAAAACUAUGUCAACAAUUGGAUGUACUCAUCAAGUCACCCUUACUCUGCCACUAAUUUAUUUCCUUGGUGCUGAAAUGAUGAGAGAGGUAUAAUCUCCACCCUCACGGAUUUGUCAUCACCCUGGAGAGGAAGGAGAGAGCCAAAAGACAGAAGUAUUGUCUUGUAGACUUAUUAGAUUUACACAGUAUCGUCCUCCAGUGUGUAAGGCAUUGUCUAAAUAGGUCCAGUUAAAGCACUACAGAGUAGCCAUCUUUUACAAAAAUUGUUGGCCACAUUUUUAAGUUCACAGGCGAGGGGGAACGUCUCAUACUCUAGCCCUCCUGAGCCUAGACCCUCUGUGAGAUGUGUCACCAUUUCUUGGACACCAUGUGAGACAUUCCCCCUCAGAUUAGAGAUGCUCAGCCUGCAUCAACUUAUCUAAAGCCUACAUCUGGCUACUCUGGGGCAAGUCCUGUUUACAGUGCCCAUUCCUGGAGCUUGCCUCUGUUUGUCUUUUGUUCGAUUACAUGAUAUAUUACUUUUCCCAACAGGCCAGUGCUAGCAUAUUGGAAGAGUGAUUUAAUAAAGCUGGCAACCUUGACGCUAUGCCACCAGUCCAACCUUAUUUGCCUCAUUUACCAUUUCCAUUAUUGUGGCAGCCCUCCAUUCCAGCCACAGCAGCCCCUCACUAUACCCCAGUCACACCACCCACAUUUCUGCUUCUGUCUGUGUGUUUGUCCAUCUAAAAUGCCCUUAUUUCACUCUGCCUGUGGGAGUCCUAUGCAUCUCUCAAAAGCCAACACAAGUUCAUCUUUCUUCUUGACACCUUCCCUGAAUAUUCCAGCCGUGCUGAGCCUAGUCCCUUUGUGAGAUUUGUCACCAUUUCUUGGACACCAUAUGAGAGACUUCAGAGGCUGAAGUGGGAGGAUCGCUUGAGCCUGGGAGGUCGAGGAUGCAGUGAGCUGUGGUCGUACCACUGCACUCUAGCCUGGGCAACACAGCGAGGCCCUGUCUUAAAAACAGCCACCACCAAAAACUAUCUUGGGAUUUGAAUAGGAUUACGUUAAAUUUGUAGAUUAAUUUGAGAAUUUACAUCUGUACGACAUUGUAGGAAUGUGCUGUCUCAUGAUGGAACUAACAAGGAUACACCUGCUGUCCCCAGCCCUUUUGGGAGGUGGGGAGGGAUAGGAAGGAGAAAGGUUUUGGUGCCUAUUGCUGCUGAUGGUGGGCAUCAGGCCAGGCCAGGGGCCUUCUUGGAGGCUCUGGGAAAGGGGAAGGGAAGGCCACCGGGUGUGAGAGAGAGGGCACUUGUCUCCUUCAAGGCUGAUGGAAGGUAGGAUAUGUGAGUCCUUCCUCUUAAGUGGCAGGAAACAGUAUUUUCUCUUUUCUUUUUUUCCCCUGGAUACUAGAACUGAGGAAACACUAUUUUCUCAUCUUACUGGUUUUUGCGCCCCCACUCUAUUCCUUUUACACAAACCUCACAGAAUUUUAACCAGAAAGGCCAGGCAGGAUGGCUCACGCCUGUAAUCACAGCACUUUGGGAUCACUUGAGGUUAGGAGCUCGUGACCAACCUGACCAACAUGGUGAAACCCCAUCUCUACUAAAAAUACUAAAUUAGCUGGGUGUGGUGGCACAGGCAUGUAAUCCCAGCUAUUUGGGAGGCUGAGGCAGGAGAACUGCUUGAAACCAGGAGGCGCAGGUUGCAGGGAGCCAAGAUAGCACCAUUGCACUCCAGCCUGGGGAACGAGCCAAACUGUCUCAAAUAAAAAAAAACAACAAAAAAGAAUUUUAACUACGGAGAACUUAGAUAGUAGUUUGUCCUUUUAUGACAGGAAAACUGAGAAGGAGAAAGGGAGAGUGUCUUACCCCAUGGUCACACAAUGCACUCUGCCUUUUCCUAUUUUAUUCAAAUUCAAAAAUAACAUGUUGUGGUUUAAGCUGAUUUCGCAGCUCACUCACUCAUCAGCGACAGCCAGCUGUAUGAAGACUG